AUGGAGGGAAACUUGUUUGGUAUGAAAACUAUAAGAAUUGGAAAUGAUUUCAUGCACCUACACCAAUCAGUCAAGUUUCAACAGAAACAAUCGAGAAUGCUGGCUACCUUUAAUUUUUUUAUAUUUUUAAUUCACAUUCUCAUUCUGCAAUGUUGUAUUACGUUAAAAAAAACGUUCACUUUUUUUUUUAAUUUCUGCAAAAAAAUAAAACUUACUGAAAAUCAUUUAGUUAUUUGA
rnacentral:lncRNA from 1 species